UACAGAGGUCCCAAGCGUUGUUCGGAUUCAUUGGGCGUAAAGGGUGCGUAGGUGGCGGGGUAAGUUGGAUGUGAAAUCCUGGGGCUCAACCCUAGAACUGCAUUCAAUACUGCCUUGCUGGAGUACUGGAGAGGAUGAUUGGAAUUACGGUGUAGCAGUGAAAUGCGUAGAUAUCGUAAGGAAGACCGGUGGCGAAGGCGGAUCUCUGGGCCGAUACUGACGCUGAGGAGCGAAAGCGUGGGGAGCGAACAGG
rnacentral:rRNA from 1 species